rnacentral:misc_RNA from 1 species
UCCCGCUUGUCACGGGCAGUUUCCCUAGAGUUCCCGGCAUAAUCCGUUGGCAACUAAGGAUGAGGGUUGCGCUCGUUGCGGGACUUAACCCAACAUCUCACGACACGAGCUGACGACAGCCAUGCAACACCUGUCUCUGUGCCGGCCGAACCGAAGAUCUUCCAUUACAAAGAUCAAACACAGGAUGUCAAAGGUUGGUAAGGUUUUUCGCGUAGCAUCGAAUUAAACCACAUGCUCCACCGCUUGUGCGGGUCCCCGUCAAUUCCUUUGAGUUUUAAUCUUGCGACCGUACUCCCCAGGCGGAGUGCUUAACGUGUUAACUGUGUUACUGAGUAAAACCCAACAACUAGCACUCAUCGUUUACGGCGUGGACUAC